GAGUUCCAGCAGUGACUUACCUGCUCCGGGUAAGGGUUUUAAAGCUGGGCCAUUUGAUUAAUCUCUCUUGAAGUCCACUGAAUGGUUUUCCCAAAGUCUUCUCAGCUGGAUGUAGUGCCUGAUUCAAGCAACUUGCUUCCCUACGUGCCUGAAAAUAACCAUGACAAAUUACACCUCCUUUAUGGGAAACCAGGAGAAACCACGGGAUCGCACUCAGAAACUGCAGGACACGUCACAGGUGGUACAGAUGCUAGCCCAAGGGCACCCCAGAACUGGAAGUACAGACCAGAACCAGGACUAUACAGCACCUGCAAAACAGGCCUCAACAGCAAUUUCACUGGUGUGCCCAAAGGUGCAAUCGUGGUCAU